rnacentral:rRNA from 1 species
UGGGGAAUAUUGGACAAUGGGCGAAAGCCUGAUCCAGCCAUGCCGCGUGUGUGAAGAAGGUCUUCGGAUUGUAAAGCACUUUAAGUUGGGAGGAAGGGUUGUAGAUUAAUACUCUGCAAUUUUGACGUUACCGACAGAAUAAGCACCGGCUAACUCUGUGCCAGCAGCCGCGGUAAUACAGAGGGUGCAAGCGUUAAUCGGAAUUACUGGGCGUAAAGCGCGCGUAGGUGGUUUGUUAAGUUGGAUGUGAAAUCCCCGGGCUCAACCUGGGAACUGCAUCCAAAACUGGCAAGCUAGAGUAUGGUAGAGGGUGGUGGAAUUUCCUGUGUAGCGGUGAAAUGCGUAGAUAUAGGAAGGAACACCAGUGGCGAAGGCGACCACCUGGACUGAUACUGACACUGAGGCACGAAAGUGUGGGGAGCAAACAGGAUUAGAUACCCCUGUAGUCCCUGAGCGGGCUGGCAAGGCGCAU